rnacentral:rRNA from 1 species
GAAGACUACCAGGUUGAUAGGUGAGGGGUGUAAGCAUGGUAACAUGUUCAGCUGACUCAUACUAAUAAGUCGAGGGCUUGAUCUA